rnacentral:rRNA from 1 species
CCUACGGGUGGCAGCAGUGGGGAAUAUUGGACAAUGGGCGAAAGCCUGAUCCAGCCAUGCCGCGUGUGUGAAGAAGGCCUUCGGGUUGUAAAGCACUUUCAGUGGGGAAGAAAGCCUUGGGGCUAAUACCCUCGAGGAAGGACAUCACCCACAGAAGAAGCACCGGCUAACUCCGUGCCAGCAGCCGCGGUAAUACGGAGGGUGCGAGCGUUAAUCGGAAUUACUGGGCGUAAAGCGCGCGUAGGCGGUCUGAUAAGCCGGUUGUGAAAGCCCCGGGCUCAACCUGGGAACGGCAUCCGGAACUGUCAGGCUAGAGUGCAGGAGAGGAAGGUAGAAUUCCCGGUGUAGCGGUGAAAUGCGUAGAGAUCGGGAGGAAUACCAGUGGCGAAGGCGGCCUUCUGGACUGACACUGACGCUGAGGUGCGAAAGCGUGGGUAGCAAACAGGAUUAGAUACCCUAUAGUC